rnacentral:rRNA from 1 species
GAUACAGAAAGUAAGCAAGGGCAGACGGUGGAUGCCUUGGCUCUCGGAGGCGAUGAAGGACGUGAUAAGCUGCGAUAAGCUUGGGGUAGGUGCAAAUAACCUUUGAUCCCAAGAUUUCCGAAUGGGGCAACCCGGCUGGUAGAAGGCCAGUCAUUCCGUAAGGAAGGCGAACGUGGGGAACUGAAACAUCUAAGUACCCAUAGGAGAAGAAAACAAAAGUGAUUCCGCAAGUAGUGGCGAGCGAACGCGGAACAGCCCAAACCGAUGAUGUUUAGGCAUUGUCGGGGUAGUAGGACCACGUUGUGGCAAGAGAUUAAGGAAGUAGAACGUUUUGGAACAAACGGCCGUAGACGGUGAAAGCCCGGUAUACGACUCUUUAACGAAGCCUAGUGGAAUCCUGAGUAGCGCGGAGCACGAGAAAUUCUGUGUGAAUCAGCGGGGCCCAUCCCGUAAGGCUAAAUACUCCCGAGAGACCGAUAGCGAACCAGUACUGUGAAGGAAAGGUGAAAAGCACCUCGAACAGAGGAGUGAAAUAGUCCCUGAAACCGUCUGCCUACAAGCGGUCGGAGCAACGUAAGUUGUGACGGCGUGCCUUUUGCAUAAUGAACCUACGAGUUACUUUCUCCGGCAAGGUUAAGGGCUUCAGGCCCGGAGCCGAAGCGAAAGCGAGUCUUAAUAGGGCGUGAUAGUCGGAGUGAGUAGACGCGAAACCAAGUGAUCUACCCUUGGUCAGGAUGAAGGUUGGGUAACACCAACUGGAGGUCCGAAUGGGUAUACGUUGAAAAGUGUUCCAAUGAACUGAGGGUAGGGGUGAAAGGCUAAUCAAACUUGGAGAUAGCUCGUACUCCCCGAAAUGCAUUUAGGUGCAGCCUUUAUUUAGUAUAGCAUGAGGUAGAGCGACUGAUUGGAUGCGAGGGCUUCACCGCCUAUCAAGUCCAGAUAAACUCCGAAUGCGUGCUAUAUAUUGAUAAGGAGUGAGGGCGCGGGUGCUAAGGUCCGCGUCCGAGAGGAGAAGAAUCCAGACCAUCAGCUAAGGUCCCCAAAUAACAGUUAAGUUGAACUAACGAAGUCGGACUGCAGAGACAGCUAGGAUGUUGGCUUGGAAGCAGCCAUUCAUUUAAAGAGUGCGUAACAGCUCACUAGUCGAGGAGUCCGGCGUGGAUAAUACUCGGGCAUAAACUGUUUACCGAAGCUAUGGAUGUGUAAACACAUGGUAGGGGAGCAUUCCAACGGCGUCGAAGGUGAAGGAUGACCUUUGCUGGAGCUUUUGGAAACGCAAAUGUAGGUAUAAGUAACGAUAAAGGAGGUGAGAAACCUCCUCGCCGAAAGACUAAGGUUUCCUGAUCAACGUUAAUCGGAUCAGGGUAAGUCGGGACCUAAGGUUAAGCCGAACGGCGAUACCGAUGGAAGAAUGGUUUAAUAUUCCCAUACUACUUUAUGGAGCGAUGUGGAGACGGAGAAGUGACAGUCCUGCCAUCUGACGGAAUAGGUGGUUGAAGAGUGUAGAUGUAGAUUCCUGUAGGCAAAUCCGCAGGGAGAGUCGACCUUGACAGUAUGCCGCGUGCUUGCACAAGGCAAAAUGGACGUAAUCAGGCUCCCAAGAAAAUCCGCUAAGCAUAUUCAUAAAGUACCCGUACCGUAAACGGACACACGUAGUUGGGUUGAAAAUACUGAGGCGCUCGAGUGAUUCACGGUUAAGGAACUAGGCAAAUUGACCCUGUAACUUCGGGAUAAAGGGUCCCUACUGAGAGGUAGGGCGCAGAGAAUAGGUCCAGGCAACUGUUUAACAAAAACACAUGGCUGUGCGAAAUAGAAAUAUGAAGUAUACAGCCUGACACCUGCCCGGUGCUGGAAGGUUAAGAGGAGAGCUCAUCGCAAGAGAAGGCUUGAAUUGAAGCCCCAGUAAACGGCGGCCGUAACUAUAACGGUCCUAAGGUAGCGAAAUUCCUUGUCGGGUAAGUUCCGACCUGCACGAAUGGUGUAAUGAUCUGGACACUGUCUCAACCGUGAGCUCGGUGAAAUUGUAGUAUCGGUGAAGAUGCCGAUUACCCGCGAUGGGACGAAAAGACCCCGUGAACCUUUACUAUAGCUUUACAUUGAAUUUGGGCAAUCGAUGUGUAGGAUAGGCCGGAGACAUUGAAUCAGGUACGCCAGUAUUUGUGGAGUCGCCGUUGAAAUACGGCCCUUUGGUUGUUUGAGUUCUAACCCGCAGAAGCGGGGACACUGUAUGGUGGGUAGUUUGACUGGGGUGGUCGCCUCCAAAAGAGUAACGGAGGCUUCUAAAGGUACCCUCAGACCGAUUGGUAACCGGUCGCAGAGUGUAAUGGCAUAAGGGUGCUUGACUGGGAGACAGACAAGUCGAUCAGGUAGGAAACUAGAGCAUAGUGAUCCGGUGGUUCCGCAUGGAAGGGCCAUCGCUCAAAGGAUAAAAGGUACUCCGGGGAUAACAGGCUGAUCGCUCCCAAGAGCUCAUAUCGACGGAGCGGUUUGGCACCUCGAUGUCGGCUCGUCACAUCCUGGGGCUGGAGAAGGUCCCAAGGGUUGGGCUGUUCGCCCAUUAAAGUGGCACGCGAGCUGGGUUCAGAACGUCGUGAGACAGUUCGGUCUCUAUCUAUCGUGGGCGUAGGAUAUUUGAGGGGCUCUGACACUAGUACGAGAGGACCGUGUUGGACAGACCACUGGUUUACCGGUUGUACCGCCAGGUGCACCGCCGGGUAUCUAAGUCUGGAUUGGAUAAGUGCUGAAAGCAUCUAAGUACGAAGCCAGCCUCAAGAUGAGAUAUCCCUAGAGGGUCGUUGUAGACUACGACGUAGAUAGGCUACAGGUGUAAGGGCAGUAAUGUCGAAGCCGAGUAGUACUAAUAGCCCGAGACUUUCGAUCAUAUA